rnacentral:tRNA from 4 species
GGAGCUUUAGCUCAGCUGGUUAGAGCAGUCGGCUCAUAACCGAUCGGUCCCGGGUUCGAGUCCCCGAAGCUCCA